rnacentral:tRNA from 1 species
GUUUUAAUAGUUUAAAAAAAACGUCGGUCUUGUAAACCGAAAAUAUGAUCUGCCCCACUUUUAAAACU